CGCAGCCUGUGACACCCCUGCAGCUGUUUGAGGGUCGUCGGAGCCGCCGCAGGAGGGAGGCCCCCAAGGCUGCGGAUGAGCAGGAGUCCAGAGUGCAGUACACCGUGUGCAUCUGGCGGAACGGUAACCUGGGGCUGUCUGGGAUGGCCAUUGCUGACAUCACCCUCCUGAGUGGAUUCCAAGCCCUGAGGGCUGACCUGGAGAAGCUGACCUCCCUCUCUGACCGUUACACGUCUGCCAGUGCGCUGAAGGGAAGUGUCCUCGACAGCGAAGGUCACUGGAGCGAGGGGUGGAGGACAAGGAUGGUUACCGGAUGAAGUUCGCCUGCUAUUAUCCCCGAGUGGAGUAUGGCUUCCAGGUUAAGGUUCUCCGAGAAGACAGCAGAUCUGCCUUCCGCC
rnacentral:lncRNA from 1 species